CUCCGUAGGUGAACCUGCGGAGGGAUCAUUACUGAGUUACCGCUCUAUAACCCUUUGUGAACAUACCUCAA
rnacentral:rRNA from 1 species